CGGUCCAAGACGGGCAUCCAACGCCCUGUCGCAACCUCGCCGCCGUCCCCGUAGAGCCGCAGCGGCGGGAGCGAGUGCCAGAGCGCUGCGGUCUCCGGAGCCCCUCCCGAGCGAAAGAGAAAAAAGGACUUCUCUCCUUGAAGCAGCGUUCGUGGGAGAGAGCAUCGGGCGGCGGCAGAACUGGGCUGCCGGCUGCAGGGAGCUUUACCGCGGGCCUUCUUUCUUCCAGCCCAAUUUAGCAGGCGCCGCCAUCGCCAAUGACAAGCCAAGGAAGCAGCAGCAGUCGGAGCAGCAGUGAGCAGGCCGGAGCAAGCUGUCCCUGCUCUUGGCUGCUG